rnacentral:rRNA from 1 species
GACGAACGCUGGCGGCGUGCUUAACACAUGCAAGUCGAACGGAAAGGCCCCUUUGGGGGUACUCGAGUGGCGAACGGGUGCGUAACACGUGAGUAACCUGCCCUUGACUUCGGGAUAACUUCAGGAAACUGGGGCUAAUACCGGAUAGGAAUCCUUGCUGCAUGGUGGGGGUUGGAAAGCUUCGGCGGUUUUGGAUGGACUCGCGGCUUAUCAGCUUGUUGGUGGGGUAGUGGCUUACCAAGGCUUUGACGGGUAGCCGGCCUGAGAGGGCGACCGGCCACAUUGGGACUGAGAUACGGCCCAGACUCCUACGGGAGGCAGCAGUGGGGAAUAUUGCACAAUAGGCGGAAGCCUGAUGCAGCAACGCCGCGUGCGGGAUGACGGCCUUCGGGUUGUAAACCGCUUUCAGCAGGGGCGAAGCUUGUGGUGACGGUACCUGCAGAAGAAGCACCGGCUAACUACGUG